rnacentral:misc_RNA from 1 species
UACGAGAGCCCCGAGCGUUAUCCGGAAUCAUUGGGCGUAAAGGGUGCGUAGGUGGCGUUGUUAGUCUUCUGUUAAAGCCCCGAGCUUAACUCGGGAAUCGCAGGGGAAACGGCAAUGCUAGAGGAUGUGAGAGGUGUGCGGAACUCAUGGUGUAGGGGUGAAAUCCGUUGAUAUCAUGGGGAACACCGAAAGCGAAGGCAGCACACUGGCACAUUCCUGACACUGAGGCACGAAAGCGUGGGUAGCGAAUGGG